UUUUUUCCUUUUCAUCGCUCGUUCCUUCUUCCAUGGCGCGCUGGCCUUCAGACGGAGGUGGCGACGGUGGGUUGGGCCGCAUCGUGUGCUCGGGGUCCUCCCCCGGGGCCGUCCCCGGGGAAGCAACAGGGGUCUGUACGCGGAGGGAGUGGGGUCUUGGGAACGACCCCAGGCGGGACGGGGUGGUGAGGUCGGAGAACGCAUGGCCCAAGCCACGUGCCAGCGACCCCCCCGCGGCGUCCCCUCGGGUUGUCUCUUUCACUGAAUCUGAUUUUAAUGAUCCUUCCGCAGGUUCACCUACGGAAA
rnacentral:misc_RNA from 1 species